ACUCCUACGGGAGGCAGCAGUGGGAAUAUUGGACAAUGGGAACCGUAGCAUCAGCCAUGCCGCGCUGUGUGAAGAAGGCCUUCGGGUUGUAAAGCACUUUCAGUGGGGAGGAAAGGUUGCAGGUUAAUACCCUGUAGCUGUGACGUUACCCACAGAAGAAGCACCGGCUAACUCCGUGCCAGCAGCCGCGGUAAUACGGAGGGUGCAAGCGUUAAUCGGAAUUACUGGGCGUAAAGCGUGCGCAGGCGGUCUGUUAAGCGAGAUGUGAAAG
rnacentral:rRNA from 1 species